rnacentral:rRNA from 1 species
AAGCCCCAACGAUGGAUGCCUAGGCUCUGGCGUCGAUGAAGGACGCAGCGAAGCGCGAAAUUCAAUGCGAAUUGCAGGACUCCGUGAGUCAUCAGGUUUCCCAACGCAACAGGCACCUUGGGGAAACUCAAGGUAUGUUCCUUUCAGUAUCA